UGGGAAUAUUCGAUCACGCAAAUAAAUUUAGGUUAGAUCGUGUUUUUAGUUGGAAUGUAACGUAAACAGCAGUCUAAAGAAAAGUAAUUCCCGCAUUCACGGAUGUAUAACAUGGGAAAUGAUAGGGAAUUAAUAAUAGUUUGAAAAUAUAUUCUUUGGUUUAUAUAAGAUUUUCUUACUUCUAUUUCGUGUUUCAUUUCUGAACUUUUAACAAACUUUCAAUCGAUAUUGAUUAUUUUAUAUAAUAGUUCAUCAAAUUAUCAUUAGUAUAUAAAGAUGUCGCAUCUGCGGAGUUCGACUUGACAAGUUAAUAUUAUUUAUUAAAUUUUAUUUUAUUAUUAAGUGUGUUCACGUGUUUAUUAAUCAUUAAAGAAAUUUGUUUAUAUUAUCAAAUACAAUUAAUAAUAUAAUCAAAGAGAAGAUGAUGCCACAUAUUAAACUUCUCAACAAUUUGCAAGGGGGUUCAGCGCAGAACGACUCUCUCAAGACACAGUGGGUUCCUUGAGGACACUUGAAUCCGGCACAAGAAGAAACUUGAAUUCGAAAUCAGUUUUGAUUUCUCGCCUUUUCAAUUUAUACGAAAAUAUGAACAUGUAUGUACGAACUCACUUUCAUCCCAACGACAACGGCGGACUUUCAUCAUGCAUGUGUAUCCAUUGGUGCAGUAUACGGCAUCACAGCUGGAAGGACCCUUCAAAGAUUCUCAAAAGACACGAAUGCGCAUUAAAAAUAAAGAAUAGAAACUUGCAUUAAAAAUAAUAACUAUUCAAUGAACCUUGAAGAGACAAAAUUUCUAUUUCUGAAUAUUAAAAUGACAGAGAAAUAAUUCUCAUUCAAAACGAAAAGAAAAAGAAAAACUUGAAGUAAGAUUCCCUUGAAAGGAUAUCUCUUAGUGCAUCUCUUAAUACAGGUUCCAGAGGGAUGUAUAUCAUCCAGGAAUUUCAUUUUCAUUACAUAAUCUAAAAUCUACCGCAUCCCUGUAUAAUGGGAUCAAACAUCUAAAGACAAUGAAUUUACAACUUAAACAACUGUUUCAGAUCCAUUCACAAAAUUGCAUUCACCGUUAAUCGUUCUUUGGGCUCUGCAACCUUAAUUAAAUUUCACCAACUCAGAUGUCGUUGUCGAGACGCUUACCUGUACGAGAUUUCGAGCAGUAGAGCAUAGUGGGACAAGGUGGAUUUUUGCAUCGGAAUUUUCUGUGUACGCAGUGCUCGUCUUCCUCGCAAUGCAAGUACGGGCAUCCUCGAUGGACAGGUGCCUGGAUCAAUUCUGUGUAUAAAUUAUUAUAAGUCACAAUUCGAAAUUUCUUCAAUCCUUGGAAGAAUAUUUUGGAAAAUUGAAUUUCCAUGCGUUUGAAAAAAAUAUUUUUAAAAGGAUAAAUUUUGUGUAUGGAGUGAUAAAAUGGAUUGAAAAUUUAUUAAACUGUUAUAAUGUUUUAUGAAAGUAGAAUAUUUGGAGAAGCAAUAAGAAGAUGUAAAAGAAUAGGUGGAAAUUUAAA
rnacentral:lncRNA from 11 species